AUCGUGGAAAGGAGAAAAUUCAAGAAUAGUCCCUGAAUUUCUACGACUUUUGCAAAUUAGUCCAGAUUGACUUGAAGUGAAGUGGGUAGAUCGGAUCAACACAACAGGGCACACUAUUCAGAUCAAUUCUGGUAGUUUUUGUUUUAUGUUUAAAGAUUUAUAUGGCAUGUAUAGAGUUUGAAUGAAUUGAAGUAAAGAUGUUAUGAACUAGUUAACAAUAUUUGUACUAAAACAGUUUUUGGUAAGUAGCAGUAGUUUGACUUUGAAAAUUCACCAUAAA